rnacentral:rRNA from 1 species
AGAGUUUGAUCAUGGCUCAGGAUGAACGCUGGCGGCGUGCUUAACACAUGCAAGUCGAACGGAAAGGCCCAAGCUUGCUUGGGUACUCGAGUGGCGAACGGGUGAGUAACACGUGGGUGAUCUGCCCUGCACUUCGGGAUAAGCCUGGGAAACUGGGUCUAAUACUGGAUAGGACCACUUCUUGGAUGUUGUGGUGGAAAGUUUUUUCGGUGUGGGAUGAGCUCGCGGCCUAUCAGCUUGUUGGUGGGGUAAUGGCCUACCAAGGCGUCGACGGGUAGCCGGCCUGAGAGGGUGUACGGCCACAUUGGGACUGAGAUACGGCCCAGACUCCUACGGGAGGCAGCAGUGGGGAAUAUUGCACAAUGGGCGCAAGCCUGAUGCAGCGACGCCGCGUGGGGGAUGACGGCCUUCGGGUUGUAAACUCCUUUCGCUAGGGACGAAGCGUUUUGUGACGGUACCUGGAGAAGAAGCACCGGCUAACUACGUGCCAGCAGCCGCGGUAAUAC